UCUCAGGAAAAUCAGAUGUGACUGUGCCCUGAGUGUGCAGAAGAGUGUCCUGUGGUUGGAACCAGGCCCUGACAGGCAGUGAUCAGUGACUGGGGGUGCCAGAGGCAUGGAAGGUGAUUUAUACCAACUAGCAGUUGUCUCUGAACUGAUUCUAUGAAGAGGAAAAUGUUGUGGUCUCUUCGGGAGUUCAAACCUUGGAAGGGAAACAUGUGCCUUCGGCAGGGCGAGAGAGCUGAGGUACAUCGGGGAGAGGACAGCUGCUCAAAGGCAAGAGGAAGGGCAAAAAGGACAGCACCAUUUGCAUCUUUCACCUUAACCAAAAG